rnacentral:rRNA from 1 species
GACGAACGCUGGCGGCGUGCCUAAUACAUGCAAGUUGAGCGCUGAAGGUUGGUACUUGUACCAACUGGAUGAGCAGCGAACGGGUGAGUAACGCGUGGGGAAUCUGCCUUUGAGCGGGGGACAACAUUUGGAAACGAAUGCUAAUACCGCAUAUAAACUUUAAACACAAGUUUUAAGUUUGAAAGAUGCAAUUGCAUCACUCAAAGAUGAUCCCGCGUUGUAUUAGCUAGUUGGUGAGGUAAAGGCUCACCAAGGCGAUGAUACAUAGCCGACCUGAGAGGGUGAUCGGCCACAUUGGGACUGAGACACGGCCCAAACUCCUACGGGAGGCAGCAGUAGGGAAUCUUCGGCAAUGGACGAAAGUCUGACCGAGCAACGCCGCGUGAGUGAAGAAGGGUUUCGGAUCGUAAAACUCUGUUGGUAGAGAAGAACGUUGGUGAGAGUGGAAAGCUCAUCAAGUGACGGUAACUACCCAGAAAGGGACGGCUAACUACGUG